AUGAUAGCUGGUGAUUUUAAUGAAAUUUUGUAUUCCCAUGGAAAAGAGGGUGGAGCGGCGAGGCCAGUGCACAUGAUGCAGAACUUUCGAGAUGCUCUUGUUGAUUGUGAGAUGGAGGAUAUGGGAUGCAGCGGUGAUCUUUACACUUGGAGGAGGAGGAGGCUUAGGGAACGGCUGGACAGAGCGGUAUGUAAUGGCCAGUUUCAUGGUUUAUUCCCAAACACAAAAGUCACUAACACUGCUCAUAUAAAGUCGGAUCACAGACCCAUCUUCAUUGACACCGAGGGGGAUGGGCAGGUAGUUUCUCAAACCCAUCGGAAGUGCUUUGAGUCAAGGUGGUUGCAAGAGGAUAAUAUUAUGCAAGUGGUAUCCGAUGCGUGGGAACGUUCAGACCCGACGGCACCAAUUGCAGAACGAACAGCGAGUGUCCAUUCCACUUUGCAUGAGUGGGAUCGCUCGAUUUUGAAGGCACCCCAACGGCGCCUGAAGGAACUGAAGGAGGAGUUGGAAAAGUUGCGGUCGGGCCCUCUCACUGAUGAGGCGGGAGACAGGCAGCGAAUUCUGUUAAUGGAGAUAGAGGAAAACUUGGAAAAGGAAGAGAUUUACUGGGUUGAACACAGCCGAGCAAACUGGCUCAAUUUGGAGACCGCAACACCAAUUUCUUUCAUAAUUUUGCAUCGGUUAGAAAGAAGAGAAACCAUAUAA
rnacentral:rRNA from 1 species